UGGUGCGGUUAUCAGAUCAGGCCGACAGGAAGGGAAAGAAGGUAGCUUCACCUCAGGGAGGCCGACGUGCCCAAGUAAAUGUUUCUACGGCAAAGUCUCCACUCAUUACGGAUAUGGAGGUGGUGCAAGGCCUUACUCAACCGUGCUUCUGGCUACAUGAGUGCGUUAACGAUGCAAACGAUGAAGCAAUGAUUGAGAUUAAGUUGUCGGACCACCAAUUCCACUACAUUGAGGAAACAUCGACCUUUAUUUCUAAGGCUAUUAUACAAUGAUUUGAGGCGAUCUAGU